rnacentral:lncRNA from 1 species
AAGGAAAUAUUGAACAGUAUAACAAACAGAUGCAAUCAUUUUAUUCUUAGACACAGCAUUAAAUUUGGACGGUUUCACACUUAUUUUGAAGAUCAUAAAAGUUGCAAAACACUGCAUUAAAUUUGGACGGUUUCAUACUGAAUUUGAAGACUAUAAAAGUUGCAAAGGAAGUAGAUUGAAAGAACUUCAUACCAACAUCUAUAGAAGCUUUCAGAGGGGACACAAGCCAAAGAUUAUAAAAGUUGCAAAGGAAGUAAAAUUGAAAGAACUUCAUACCAACAUCUAUAGAAGCUUUCAGAGGGGACACACAAACCAAAGACACUGCAUUGAAUUUGGACGGCUUCAUACUGAAUUGAGACUAUAAAAGUUACAAAGGAAGCAACAUUGUAAGAACUUCUAACCAACGCCUGUAGAAGCUUUCAGAGGAGCCACAAACCAAAGAAAAAUAUGGAAUACGUUUGGCUGUUUUUCUGCACACUAAUUUGCGUACAUUUUAAUCACGUCUCAACAAACUCCUCCCCCAAAAUGACUACAAUUAUUGCAACCACACCAUCAUCAACAACUGGAGACACCACAGCAGGCUGGAAUACAACCACACCAGACAAUGGAUCCAACAGAUUAUCUGGUGGUGCGAAAGCCGGCAUUAUUUGUGCUUCAAUAUUUGUAUAUUUUGUGGGACUGUGAUUGUUGUACCUUGUUUAAGAAUAAAAAAUCUAGCCAAAAUAACGCCACAGGCUUAACCAUUUACAUAGAAGCCGUACAAAAAAAACAAAACAAUUAACACAAAAUAUGUUCGAUAUGUUAAAUAUUUUUGUGGUAGUAGUAGUAAUAGAAUUUAAGGUGUUUGAAACAUUUAAUUGCGGUAAUUAAGCUAUGGGAAUUGGAUGAACAUUUUCCAACAGAACGUUUUGGUUUUGGCUUAAGGAUAAUGAUGAAGGCAUAAUGAUAA